CGCAUCUGUGCAUGCAGCAUAUCAAUAAGCGGAGGAAAAGAAACUAACAAGGAUUCCCCUAGUAACGGCGAGUGAAGCGGGAAGAGCUCAAAUUUGAAAUCUUAAAGGGUUUCCCUUUACGAAUUGUAGUUUAAAGAAGUGUUUUCUGUUGAGGUUUUGGUAAAAGUUCUUUGGAAUAGGACAUCAUAGAGGGUGAGAAUCCCGUAUUUGACCUUUACUUUCAACUUUGUGAUACACUUUCAAAGAGUCGGAUUGUUUGGGAAUGCAGUCCAAAAUGGGUGGUAAAUUUCAUCUAAAGCUAAAUAUUGGCGAGAGACCGAUAGCGAACAAGUACCGUGAGGGAAAGAUGAAAAGAACUUUGAAAAGAGAGUUAAACAGUACGUGAAAUUGUCAAAAGGGAAGCGUUUGACACCAGUGUUGUUUUUCUGAAAAUCAAUUAAAGAACUGUUUAUGCUAAGUUGUUUAGACUUUAUCAGCUAACUGUUUAGUUUUGAGCUUUUCUUUAAUGCACUUUUCAGUUAACAAGUCAACAUCAAUUUCUUUUGCUGUAAAAAAGCUUGAGGAAGGUGGCUUGAGAUUCGUCUUAAGUGUUUAUAGCCUCUUGCCUAUGCAGUCGGAGAGAUUGAGGUCUGCAGCGUAGAUCCUUCGGGGCUAAAUGCAUUUGUGCUAAGUUAUAGCAUUUUAUAGACAACUUGUUGACUAUGAUUUGUCUUGUAGCUUACUCGCUUAUGUUAUUUUACCUACGCUUAGGAUGUUGAACGCGCACAAGAGUCUC
rnacentral:rRNA from 1 species